rnacentral:misc_RNA from 1 species
CCAUGAGAACAAACAGUGUUGCAACAUAUUGCUAUCUCACCUAUAUAUAGUGUGAUUCCCUAAACAUAGUUGCGUUGGUUCAUUUCCUCAAAAUGAACAUGUCGGAGACGCUCCCCGUUGAAUUCACCAUACCAGAGGAUAAACAUCAACGUCUGGUAAUAAGCAGUGUCCUGCUGUACAUCGGAGUCUGUCUUAACAUUGCAGUACUCGUGUCGUUACUGAAAACAUGGAGGCCUGACAGCAGGAUACAGUUCUUCAUCCUUUGUCUUUGCACCGCCGACCUACUCGGUCUUUGCUUUCAUCUUGGGAUCGAUAUUGGAUGGAUUGCGACGUACGUGUGGACUGCUGGGAAUGUUGGCUGCAAGAUAUGCAUGUUCCUGCUCAAGUUUGGACACACCAUGGCUCACUACUUCCUGGCAUCGUUUAACGUUGACAACGUCAUCACCAUAUGCUGUUAUAAGUCCAGGAAGGUAACCAGGAUCCUGCUCAUUGUCGUCUCCAUCUUUGCUGCAGUAUGUGUCUGUGUCCCGGAGGCGUUCGUGUUCAGUACACAUAUUCAUCCACACUAUCAGGAACUCAUCCAGUGCGCAAAGUUCGACUUCUUUGAAGACCAGGAGUCUGAAACAAUUUACCUCGUUGUGUAUACCGUUGGCAUCUAUUGGUUUCCACUUCUUUUCGUCAUAUUCACAGGAAUACUCGCCAUCAUUGCAUGGCUUACCAAGAGGGCAACUGAGGAGUUUGAAGAAGCAAAGAAGAAAACUCCAGAUGGAAGCGACCUUCAGACAUUUGGCCUGGACCUAGCCAUGGUGUCAGCAUUUAAUGUUGUGUUCUUCGUGUGCUGGACGCCGACCUGUGUUCUCUUUCUCAUUGAGAGACUGGGUGUUUGUUUUCAGUACUCUCAACUUGGCUUAUGACCGUUUGGAGGUUUUGUGGUUGGCUUUCAAAUACAUCGCAGUCAUAAACAGCUGUCUUAAUCCUGUUAUAUACGGGAUUUUCACGUGCAUC